rnacentral:rRNA from 1 species
GAAUCUUUGAACGCACCUUGCACCCUUUGGUAUUCCGAAGGGUACACCCGUUUGAGUGUCAUU